AAUAUUGCACAAUGGGGGAAACGCUGAUGCAGCGACGCCGCGCGAGCGAAGAAGGCCUUCGGGUCGUAAAGUUCUGUCCUCAGGGAAGAACCGGACCGUACCCUAGGAGGAAGCCCCGCCCACCUCCGUGCCUGCAGCCGCGGUAAUACGUAGGGGGCGAGCGUUAUCCGGAAUUACUGGGCGUAAAGGGUGCGUAGGCGGCCUUUUAAGUCAGAUGUGAAAGGCUACGGCUUAACCGUAGUUAGCAUUUGAAACUAAAAGGCUUGAGUGCAGGAGAGGAGAGUGGAAUUCCUAGUGUAGCGGUGAAAUGCGUAGAUAUUAGGAGGAACACCAGUGGCGAAGGCGACUCUCUGGACUGCAACUGACGCUGAGGCACGAAAGCGUGGGGAGCGAACA
rnacentral:rRNA from 1 species